rnacentral:lncRNA from 1 species
UUAGGUUUAGGGUUUUACGGCUGAUAGCUAACACAGAUCUGAAGUCGCAGCAAAUUUUUCAUUUUCGUUACUUUCAAUUUUCCAAAUUUCUCAAUAGCAACUUCGCUUUCUUAUGAAUCUAAUCCUAUAAUUCUGUAUUGUGUGUUCAGUUUCUCUGUUUUUUAUUUAUGUUAAUUUGUAACUAUGCUACAUUGUACCGAGAGAAGGGUGGUAACAAAAAAACCAAUACCCUUAAUCUUGAAUGUGCCAUUGUGGCUGUAGCUAUAUUAAAUCGAAGAAUCUUACUGGCCGGUUAUUGUGACUCUGUCGAUAAAUCUGCUUACCGAGUUUCUCACAUUU